rnacentral:rRNA from 1 species
UACGGAGGAUGCGAGCGUUAUCCGGAUUUAUUGGGUUUAAAGGGUGCGUAGGCGGACUGUUAAGUCAGCGGUAAAAGCCCGGGGCUCAACCCCGGCGAGCCGUUGAAACUGGCUGUCUUGAGAUGUCGAGAGGUAUGCGGAAUGCGCAGUGUAGCGGUGAAAUGCUUAGAUAUUGCGCAGAACUCCGAUUGCGAAGGCAGCAUACCGGCGCCCGACUGACGCUGAGGCACGAAAGCGUGGGGAUCGAACAGG